rnacentral:rRNA from 1 species
CAGUCGCCGCGGUAAUACGGAGGAUCCAAGCGUUAUCCGGAUUUAUUGGGUUUAAAGGGUGCGUAGGCGGCCUAUUAAGUCAGGGGUGAAAGACGGUAGCUCAACUAUCGCAGUGCCUUUGAUACUGAUGGGCUUGAAUGUACUUGAGGUAGGCGGAAUGUGACAAGUAGCGGUGAAAUGCAUAGAUAUGCCACAGAACACCAAUUGCGAAGGCAGCUUACUAAAGUAUGAUUGACGCUGAGGCACGAAAGCGUGGGGAUCAAACAGGAUUAGAUACCCCUGUAGUCCCUGUCUCUUAUAA